AUUGAACGCUGGCGGCAGGCCUAACACAUGCAAGUCGAGCGAGCGGCGGACGGGUGAGUAAUGUCUGGGAAACUGCCUGAUGGAGGGGGGUAACUACUGGAAACGGUAGCUAAUACCGCAUACCAUCAGAUGUGCCCAGAUGGGAGUAGCUAGUAGGUGGGGUAAUGGCUCACCUAGGCGACGAUCCCUAGCUGGGCUGAUAGGCUGACCAGCCACACUGGAACGGAGACACGGUCCAGACUCCUACGGGAGGCAGCAGUGGGGAAUAUUGCACAAUGGGGUCAAGCCUGAUGCAGCCAUGCCGCGUGUGUGAAGAAGGCCUUCGGGUUGUAAAGCACUUUCAGCGGGGAGGCGUUACCCGCAGAAGAAGCACCGGCUAACUCCGUGCCAGCCGCCGCGGUAAUAC
rnacentral:rRNA from 1 species